AACAAAAAAGAGGGCAUAUGACAAAAGGAAAUGACGCCUUUAUCUGAUAUAGCUUUAUAAAUAUAAAGAUCCAGAUUAGAUUCAUAUCCGGAUUUCCAUGUGCCUACUAUGACAUUCCUGUAAGAAGAGGAGAUAAUUUCGAGCGCACAUUGUGUCAAAUAAUGAAACCGUCUUAACAGAGACGUUAUCUUAAAUGUAUCUAUAUAUAGUCUCCUGUCCUUUGCACCGUAGUCUGGGAUCUCUUCGUGCCAAGUAUCGAUUUGCAGACCAAAUUUGUCUUAGGCCGUUACCUUAUAGUCUAGUGUUGUUAUUUAUAAGAACUGCAGCCUAUAUGAAUAUGAAAACAUAGAAUAAAUAUUUAAUAAAAUAUCUUGAAUUGAUAAA